GGAACCCCAGGUCUCAGGGCAGAUAACAACCGCAAGCGUCAACUCGCACCGCCCUCGGGGUCAGCAGAGCACUUCCGCUCGCCGUCGCCCCGGGAGCCCGAACGCUGUGCACGCGCAGGAGCGGGCUUUGGGGGCGGGGGGCAACACAGCCAAUGGGCAACAACACGGCGCCUUUCGGGGACAAAGGAUUCUGACGUGGCUCCCUCUGAGACUGAAGUUGAUCCCUGCCGAUGUCUCCAGUGUCACUCUGCAAACUGAAGCAUCAGCUGCUGAGGCAAGCAACAGUGGUUUGUGUCAUGGAGUUGUCUUCUUCUCCUGGCCCUGGACCCUAUGGAUAUCAAAAAAUGCAAUGAAAUAAAAAAGAAGACAAAGCAAAGCCUAAAAUUGGAAAGAAACGAAUAAACCUGACUCUAUAUCAAAGGACCAGCGACAUAAUUUGUGUGGCCCAGUGCAAAACGAAAAUGUGGGGCUAUUUGUUCAAAAACCAGGAAUAAAGUGCCAUUAAAGAGCGCAGGGGGUUGCAGGCCGGAUAACAGAAACCCAGCCCUGCCCACUGGGUGAAGCUGCAGCUCUCCCACGCAGCGAUCUGCAAAUCGAGAGCGUGAGAAACCUGCAAGUGGAGAGAGGAGCCAGAAGUAAUGCCUUCGAAAAUGGGACGGAUGCCUCCUCCUGAAAGGAACAACCCCAGCAAUAUUUAAAACAGAAGAAUAAAGAACUGAGGAUGAAGGGAGUAAAUGCCAUUAUUAUUCACUGACAUGAAAAUAAAUGAGAAAUGAAAGAAUGGCACACCUCUGCCUUUUCUCCUAAGCUUGCUCUGGAGGAAGUGGGCAACCGUGUCAUGAGGACACACAUGCAACCUUGUGGAGACGACUGUGUACAGAGGAACUAAGGCCUCCCGCCAACAGCCAGCACCAGCUUACCAAGCAUGUGAGUGAGCCCCCUUGGAAGUGGAUGCUCCAGCCUGAGUUGAGCUUUGAGAUGACUGCAGUCCUGGCUGACAUCUUGAGUGCAACCUCAUGAGAAACCCUGAGCUACAACCACCCAGCCAAGCCAUCCCCAGAUUCUUGACCUACAGAAACUGCAAGAUAAUAAAUAUUUAUUGUUGUUUUACAUCACUAAGUCUAGAGUAAUUUUUUUUUACACAGAAUUAGAGACUAAUACACUUUCUUAGUCUGUGAUCAUAAUUGCUAUUGUACUUACUAGUCUGUCAAAUGGGUAUCAGGUCUUCCAGAUCUCUUUAAAGGUGGUGGUUUGUUCUUUUUUUCUAGCUUCAUAUUAAUAGAUAAGAAUAUAGAGAUGCACAGCAAGGACUCUAGAGUCAGGCAGACAUUAUUUUAAGUACUGGUUUGGCCACCUAUGUGACUUUCAUGACGUUACUAAAUCAAACUCAAAUUUAUUAUGAGCAUUAAAGGAGCAAAUGCAUUUCAAGUGCUUAGGGUAGUUUAUGGCUUAUGGUAAGAGCUCAAUAAGUGUGAUAGUUAUUAUGGUUAGUAACUGUAUAAAGAGAUGCUUCUAAGGGCCUUGCCUUAUGGACAACAAAGUAGCUGAAGUAUGUGUUGUACCUUAAGUGGGGAAUUUGGUUUCCAUUAGAAUUAUUAAAUAAAUUUAUUGAGGUAUAGUUUGUAUACU